GAGUUUGAUCCUGGCUCAGAAUGAACGCUGGCGGCGUGCAUAACACAUGCAAGUCGUACGAGAAAUCCCGGGCUUGCUCGGGAAAGUAAAGUGGCGCACGGGUGAGUAACGCGUGGGUAACCCACCUCCGAAUCGGGAAUAACUCCGCGAAAGUGGAGCUAAUACCCGGUAAGACCACGUCUCGUCCGCGGGAUGGGGUAAAAGCUGACCUCUCCAUGGAAGUUGGCGUUCGGAGACGGGCCCGCGUCCUAUCAGCUAGUUGGUAGGGUAAUGGCCUACCAAGGCAACGACGGGUAGCUGGUCUGAGAGGAUGAUCAGCCACACUGGAACUGGAACACGGUCCAGACUCCUACGGGAGGCAGCAGUGAGGAAUUUUGCGCAAUGGGCGAAAGCCUGACGCAGCAACGCCGCGUGGGUGAAGAAGGCCUUCGGGUCGUAAAGCCCUGUCAGGUGGGAAGAACCGUUCCGGCACGAAUACUGCCGGAACCUGACGGUACCACCAGAGGAAGCACCGGCCAACUCCGUGCCAGCAGCCGCGGUAA
rnacentral:rRNA from 1 species